GUGUAUUCAGCAGCACAUAUACUAACACUGGAUAAGGUUAGCAUAGCUCCUGUGUAAGGAUGACACAUGAAUUCAUGAAAUGUACCAUACUUUU
rnacentral:snRNA from 1 species